GUGCUGGGAUUACAGGCAUAAACCACCAUGCCUGGCCAAGGAAUGCUAUUUCUUUUCCAGGCUCUCAUUUCAUAUCUCCAAAUGGGAAAAAAAAAACCAUGUUGUUUACCUCUCUAAGCCUGUGUAGACAGAUACUUUUCUUAACCAACCUCUCUAAACAAAGAAUUGCAAUGCCUCCUCCAGGUGUAUAUUUAGAAACGUUUCCAUGGUCACUCUUUCCAGUUUGGGCAUCUGUCAUUUGGCUGUUGCAGCAUGCAGGAGAUACCCAAGGAAUGAGUAAUUCUCAAAAAGGUGGCUUUGAAUUUGAGCUUCAUAUAGACUCUUGAACAAAGAACAGUGCAUUUUUAGGGAUGUGACAAGAGGCAAAGGAAAAGGACUUUUUAACUCUCGAUGGGUGGCAAUUUAUAAGAAGGCAAAUGACCAUCAGAUAAAUGCUGGAAUUGGAACUCCAUGAGGGAAGAAUUGUUUCUUAUUCAUUUUUGCACCCAUCUUCAAGCCCAGUGCUUGUAAUGUAUGUGACAUGCACAUUUCAAGGGGCACAUGAGAAAGCCACCUGACUAGGCAGUGUGAUAGGAUUGCUGAUUUCUCCUGAUGGCCAUGCCUACCUUACUCUGGGAUUCUGGGAUUUUACAUUUGCAUGAAACAUCUCUCCUUGUGCUAACUCCUGAUUUGACUUGCAUGACAUCACCGAAGUGUUUCUAGUCAUCUAGAUCUCUUGGAAACUGGGGCCAUGAAUCAUCAAAAGACCUAUUGGAUGCAUUUUGAGGAACUGGGUGCCUGUAUGGCCUGUCCUUGGCAGGGGCUCUGGGCUGGGAUGGAAGUCUCCCAUAUCCAUGUGUCUGGGCAAAAUGCAAAUGGCAGUAACCACAACCAGCUCCUUAUUUCUCACUGAUGCUGCUCACAGACCCAGCAACCUUCACCCUGGAAGUAAUCCAGUGGUUUUGACAUGAACUCUGAGGUGGCACUUGGUUUUUCAAGAAAACUUCUCUGCUGCCAAGCCAAGUCUAUUCCGGAUGCUGGGACCCAUGAAGUGACCACCACCACAUGGAGCAGUUGAGACCCACAGUGAGGAGCAACUCUCCUUCUUACAGGGGUACCCAAACCUCCUUUAUACAACCCAUUUGCUGGGGGCAGCUGAUUCUGUUUCUGGCUACUGAGAUGGGGCAUGUACCCAGGUGGAGCAUAUACCAAUGAUGGACAACCAUUCCCUGAUCAGAGUUAUUGCAUCCAGGGUGGGUAGUGAGCCUGCAGGUCAUGUCUGCUGAGAAAUUUCUGGGAAAGAAGUGUCCUCUGUUUUAGAAAAACUGGGAAACCCGCUUCUUUCUCUAUCCUUAAAUAUGAAUGGAGGCAGAGACCAGGCAGUUGUGAACAGCCAAAAUAGGAUUCCUGGGAUUGAAGAUGACAUUGCCAAGGGCAGACAGAUGUGGAAGUAAACCUGGUCUCUGAUGACACUGUUGAGCAAUUGAACUGAACCAUUCCUGAAACCAACCUUACUUCUAGCAUUCAGUCAUGUGAGCUAUUAAUUCUCUUUUAUCGUUUGAGUUUUUUUUUUUUUUUUUUCUCACUCAGUGGAAACUAUUCAUGGCCACAGUAAGGGAAGAUAAUAUUUCUUUCUCAAAAGCUAACUAGAACUUUGAUAGAGUAUAGUUAUUAUGCUUGGAAAGAACUAAUUAGAUCUCAGUAUUCAAGAGCUAUGUGAUAACUGGUUCAUGUUAUAUUUACAGCUCUAUAUUCAAAUAAAACCCAAAUGUCAGAUGCUUGAAUAUGAAUAUAACAAUAUCAGGACCUGCUGUUACUGCAGCUGAAACUGAAAUAUAGCUCCCUGAGGGAGAAUCAAUAAUUUUCUCUUAAGCCAGACUCAAGAUUCCUAAAUGUACUUCCAAAUAACAAAUAAUAAAUGGCCAAGGAAAAUAUUUUUUAAAUACCUCUACAGAGGAUGAAAAUUAGGGGGAGAAUGCCACUUGUCUGUCAUAA